rnacentral:pre_miRNA from 1 species
AGACACUUUUAUGGGGCAAGACUUGCUUCAGUGGGGCUUUGGUGUUCACUGAGUCUGCCCCUAGAGUAUGUCCCU